UCCGGUGGCGAUAGCGGAGGGGAAACACCCGUUCCCAUUCCGAACACGGAAGUUAAGCCUCCAGCGCCGAUGGUACUGCGUAAGCGGGAGAGUAGGACGCUGCCGGGA
rnacentral:rRNA from 1 species